rnacentral:rRNA from 1 species
GACGAACGCUGGCGGCAUGCCUAAUACAUGCAAGUCGAGCGAACAGAUGAAGUGCUUGCACUUCUGACGUUAGCGGCGAACGGGUGAGUAACACGUAAGGAAUCUACCUAUAAGCGGGGGAUAACAUUCGGAAGCGGGUGCUAAUACCGCAUGAUAUCUUCUUCCGCAUGGAAGAAGAUUGAAAGACGGCUCUGCUGUCACUUAUAGAUGACCUUGCGGUGCAUUAGUUAGUUGGUGGGGUAACGGCCUACCAAGACGAUGAUGCAUAGCCGACCUGAGAGGGUGAUCGGCCACAUUGGGACUGAGACACGGCCCAAACUCCUACGGGAGGCAGCAGUAGGGAAUCUUCCGCAAUGGGCGAAAGCCUGACGGAGCAAUGCCGCGUGAGUGAAGAAGGCCUUCGGGUCGUAAAACUCUGUUAUAAGAGAAGAACAAAUUGUAGAGUAACUGCUACAGUCUUGACGGUAUCUUAUCAGAAAGCCACGGCUAACUACGUGCCAGCAGCCGCGGUAA